rnacentral:tRNA from 1 species
GUGGGAUUAGCUCAGUUGGUUAGAGCGCCAGGUUGUGGCCCUGGAGGUCGUGGGUUCGACCCCCAUAUCUCACC